AUUAAAGUGCCUGAUAAAAGGAUUAUCUUGAUAGGAUAAAUUAUGUAAUUAAAUUGCCUUUAUUA
rnacentral:tRNA from 1 species